rnacentral:lncRNA from 1 species
CAGAGAGCAGAGCAGAGAGCAGAGCAGAGAGCAGAGCAGAGCAAAGCAGAGCAGAGAGCAGAGCAGAAAGUAGAGCAGAGAGCAGAAAGUAGAGCAGAGAGCAGAGCAGAGAGCAGAGCAGAGCAGAGAGCAGAGCAGAGCAGAGAGCAGAGAAGAGCAGAGAGCAGAGCAGAGAGCAGAGAGUAGAGCAGAGAGCAGAGAGUAGAGCAGAGAGCAGAGAGCAGAGCAGAGAGCAGAGCAGAGCAGAGCAGAGAGCAGAAUAGAGAGCAGAACAGAGAGCAGAACAGAGCAGAGCAGAGCAGAGCAGAGCAGAGCAGAGCAGAGCGGAAGC